rnacentral:rRNA from 1 species
UGGGUAACCUGCCUCAAAGAGGGGAAUAGCCUCCCGAAAGGGAGAUUAAUACCGCAUAAUAUGUUUUAGUCGCAUGACUUUAACAUCAAAGGAAUUUCUUCGGAAAUUUCACUUUGAGAUGGACCCGCGGCGCAUUAGCUAGUUGGUGAGGUAACGGCUCACCAAGGCAACGAUGCGUAGCCGACCUGAGAGGGUGAUCGGCCACAUUGGAACUGAGACACGAUCCAGACCUNUACCGGGAGG